rnacentral:rRNA from 1 species
CCUACGGGUGGCAGCAGUGAGGAAUAUUGGUCAAUGGGCGAGAGCCUGAACCAGCCAAGUCGCGUGAAGGAUGACGGCCCUACGGGUUGUAAACUUCUUUUGUCAGGGAGAAAUUGGGUCCACGCGUGGGCUUAGUGAGAGUACCUGAAGAAAAAGCAUCGGCUAACUCCGUGCCAGCAGCCGCGGUAAUACGGAGGAUGCGAGCGUUAUCCGGAUUUAUUAGGUUUAAAGGGUGCGUAGGAGGAAUAUAAAGUCAGCGGUAAAACUUCGGGGCUACACCCCGUCGUGCCGUUGAAACUGAUGUUCUUGAGUGGGCGAGAAGUAUGCGGAAUGCGUGGUGUAGCGGUGAAAUGCAGAGAUAGCACGCAGAACUCCGAUUGCGAAGGCAGCAUACCGGCGCCCAACUGACGCUGAAGCACGAAAGCGUGGGUAUCGAACAGGAUUAGAUACCCUAGUAGUC